UACGGAGGGUGCAAACGUUGCUCGGAAUCAUUGGGCGUAAAGCGCACGUAGGCGGCCUGUUAAGUCGGGUGUGAAAGCCCUCGGCUUAACCGAGGAAGUGCGCCCGAAACUGCAGAGCUUGAGUGCCGGAGAGGAUAGCGGAACACCCGGUGUAGAGGUGAAAUUCGUAGAUAUCGGGUAGAACACCAGUGGCGAAGGCGGCUAUCUGGACGGACACUGACGCUGAGACGCGAAAGCGUGGGGAGCAAACAGG
rnacentral:rRNA from 1 species